rnacentral:ncRNA from 1 species
UCCAUCGUGAGGUGGAAUGCGAAGGAAGCCUGAGGUAAAGUCUCGGUCUGAAGGAAAUAAACUCACUAGGAACGAACGAGUUUGCUACACAAAACAAAGUCCAACACUAUCCAAAUUCUUAGGAGUAAAUGUAGCAGAUAUGUGAGAUGGAUGUUGUUGUU